GUUGUUUAGUUGAAAAUCAAUUAAAUAAUUUUUGAUUUUGAGUAGUAUUGACUUCAUCAGCUUGCUGCUCUCUUUUCGGAAAUUAUUUAAUGCACUUUUCAGUUAACAAGUCAACAUCAAUUUCUUUUGUUGUAAAAGGGUAAGAGGAAGGUGGCUUACAUUUCGGUGUAAGUGUUUAUAGCCUUUUACCUCUGCAAUCGGAGAGAUUGAGGUCAGCAGCGUAGACUCUUCGGGGUUAGAUACACUUGUGCUAAGCUAUAGCCUUGUAUAGACAACUUGUUGACUAUGCUCAGUCAUGUAGCUUACUCGCUUGUAGUAUUUUACCUAC
rnacentral:rRNA from 1 species